UACGUAGGGGGCAAGCGUUGUCCGGAUUUAUUGGGCGUAAAGAGCGUGUAGGCGGCUUUACAGGUCCGUUGUGAAAACUCGAGGCUCAACCUCGAGACGCCGGUGGAAACCGUAAAGCUAGAGUCCGGAAGAGGAGAGUGGAAUUCCAGGUGUAGCGGUGAAAUGCGUAGAUAUCUGGAGGAACACCGGUGGCGAAGGCGGCAUCCUGGACCAACAUUGACGCUGAGGAGCGAAAGCCAGGGGAGCAAACGGG
rnacentral:rRNA from 1 species